GAAAUGUUAUCAGAGGACAGUCUUUAACUUUUACAAUUCUGUCAGCAUCAAAGUGGAUCCAUCAGUUGGAGUUGGACAGCUUGAGCUUUAUGGCAAAUUGAGAGGAAUCUUUCAGUUGUGAUGACUUGGACCAAAUGGUUCAGUGCAUUUUCCAGCUAGCAUUCAGGUGACUUGUGUUAAGGUCUUGGUUGCGAAGUUACACUUUAAGGUCAGACUUAAAUCCAUUAUUCAUCACCAACUCCAGAUCCUGGAAUUACUUCAUCAAGAUAGAGUUCCUCCAUUC